rnacentral:lncRNA from 1 species
AAGUGACAUAAACUGGCAUGUUCUGAAAGAAUCACUCUGGAUGCUGUGUGGAGAAAACACUGAAAAGAAUUCUAGAGUGAAAGUUUCAUGAAUAUAAGAAGCAAGACAAGGAAGUGGCUUAUGCUUAAGGCCUUAAAGGCAACCACUGUGACAAUCCAGCCAUUCUCUGGAGAAUUCAGCAGAAAGCCAGUUGGAAGGUUUGAAAUGGAAAUUACAAGCGCAAUAUUACAGAAGUGUGGAUUUUAGUUACAAUGUCUCUAUGAGAAAGUCUAAAAGUUAAACAUAAGCAAAACAACAAAAACAUCUAAAUACCAGGAAUUUGUUAUCUCGAUUAUGGAGGGCGACAAGUCCCACAGUCUGCCAUCUGCAGGAUGGAGAACCAGGGGGAGAAUAAUUGACUCCAUUCAAGUGUUCGCUCCUGUUUCAAUCAACUAUGGCUGAAGAGUGAGGAGACAUUUGGAAUAAAUAUGGCUUCUGGGGGCCCAUUCCUAUGGAUCAGCAGCUGGCUUCUGGAGGCCCAUUCCUGUGAAUCGUCGAUCUCAUAGAAGAUAAUAUUGUUAGAAGGCUUACCUCAUUGAUGCUGAACAUCCUAAAAAGCUUCUGCUGCUUUGAGUCACUGAAAAAGACCAAGAAACAUGAAUUUAAAAAAAAAUUUCAAAUGUUAUAAAAUAAAUAAUAUGAACUCAU